rnacentral:rRNA from 1 species
AAGGCCUUCGGGUUGUAAAGCUCUUUCGCAAGGGAAGAAAACUUACAUUCUAAUAAAGUGUGAGGCUGACGGUACCUUGAUAAGAAGCACCGGCUAACUACGUGCCAGCAGCCGCGGUAAUACGUAGGGUGCGAGCGUUAAUCGGAAUUACUGGGCGUAAAGCGUGCGCAGGCGGUUUGGCAAGUCAGAUGUGAAAUCCCCGAGCUCAACUUGGGAACUG